rnacentral:rRNA from 1 species
AUUGAACGCUGGCGGCAGGCCUAACACAUGCAAGUCGAACGAGUGGCGGACGGGUGAGUAAUGUCUGGGAAACUGCCUGAUGGCGGGGGAUAACUACUGGAAACGGUAGCUAAUACCGCAUACCAUCAGAUGUGCCCAGAGGGGAUUGGCUAGUUGGUGGGGUAACGGCUCACCAAGGCGACGAUCCCUCGCUGGUCUGAGAGAAUGACCAGCCACCCUAGAACUGAGAAAUGGUCCAGACUCUUACGGGAGGCAGCAGUGGGGAAUAUUGCACAAUGGGCGCAAGCCUGAUGCAGCCAUGCCGCGUGUAUGAAGAAGGCCUGCGGGUUGUAAAGUACUUUCAGCGGUGAGGCGUGACCCGCAGAAGAAGCACCGGCUAACUCCGUGCCAGCAGCCGCGGUAAUUC